rnacentral:rRNA from 1 species
UAUGUGUCGUCUCUCGCAUAUCAAUAAGCGGAGGAAAAGAAACUAACAAGGAUUCCCCUAGUAACGGCGAGUGAAGCGGGAAGAGCUCAAAUUUGAAAUCUUAAAGGGUUUCCCUUUACGAAUUGUAGUUUAAAGAAGUGUUUUCUGUUGAGGUUUUGGUAAAAGUUCUUUGGAAUAGGACAUCAUAGAGGGUGAGAAUCCCGUAUUUGACCUUUACUUCCAACUUUGUGAUACACUUUCAAAGAGUCGGAUUGUUUGGGAAUGCAGUCCAAAAUGGGUGGUAAAUUUCAUCUAAAGCUAAAUAUUGGCGAGAGACCGAUAGCGAACAAGUACCGUGAGGGAAAGAUGAAAAGAACUUUGAAAAGAGAGUUAAACAGUACGUGAAAUUGUCAAAAGGGAAGCGUUUGACACCAGUGUUGUUUUUCUGAAAAUCAAUUAAAGAACUGUUUAUGCUAAGCUGUUUAGACUUUAUCAGCUAUCUGUUUAGUUUUGAGCUUUUCUUUAAUGCACUUUUCAGUUAACAAGUCAACAUCAAUUUCUUUUGCUGUAAAAAAGCUUGAGGAAGGUGGCUUGAGAUUCGUCUUAAGUGUUUAUAGCCUCUUGCCUAUGCAGUCGGAGAGAUUGAGGUCUGCAGCGUAGAUCCUUCGGGGCUAAGUGCAUUUGUGCUAAGUUAUAGCAUUUUAUAGACAACUUGUUGACUAUGAUUUGUCUUGUAGCUUACUCGCUUAUGUUAUUUUACCUACGCUUAGGAUGUUGAACGCGCACAGAGUCUC